GGCAAACUGCAAAAGAGAAGCAAAUGUUUCAGAUUAUCUAGACAACUGGAACAGACAAACAUCAAUCUAUAUAACAAACAUUUAUUGAGUAUUUGCUCUGUUGGGAGCUUUAUGCAAAACACUCUGAGGAUAUAAAAGAGGUGCACAAUUCUUAUUUUUGGGGAACAUAUGCAUUAGUUGGGGAAGGGAGAGAGAAUGAAGUAACAUUCAUUACUGAAUGAAUUUUAUAAUUAUACAAUUUUAAUAAUAUUCAGUCCUCAUACCAAAUUGAUGAACUAGGUAUUUUAUCCUCUUCAUUUUGCGUAUGAGGCUCAGAGAAAGUAGAAAAGUUGCCUAAAGUCACAGAGCUGCAAAGAGAUGAAGCUGGGAUUGAAAUUUGGGUCCCUAACUCUAAACACUCCAGAGAUGGCAAGUGAUAAAGCUGGACAGGUAACAUGGGGCCAAGUCUUGAAAGUUCAAAUGCUAGGAAAGGAAUGGUAGCUUUUUUCUGCAGGCAGUAUGGAGUCAUAAGAAUUUAAGCAGCAGGUUAUGAAUAAAGCUGCUCUUUAGGAAGAUUUUGAUGCUCAUGGUAUGCAGGAUAGACAGACCCAGUCUCUCCAGGACUUCCUAUUCAUCUAAGAACUCAACUCACUGGACCCUUUACCUAUGAGAAACCAGAAUAACUCUAUGAAGAAGAGGUGAGAUACACAUACUUACAAUGUGAGGGUUGAAAAGCCUUUGGCAAACAUCUAGCACCUCCUGGAACACCUUGCUCCCACAGUUUAUAAGGAAGAAACUGAAGCCCAGUGAGGUCACUUGCCCAAAGUCACAUAAUACUUAAGCUGGAUUCAUAACCAAGGCUCCUUUAUUCCUAAUAUAUAACUCUUCCUACUCUUUCACGUAGCUACCUUUUAGACUCUGCAAAGACCAUGCUCUUCCCACAGGAAACACACAGGACUUUUCUGCUCCAUCCAUUCAUACACCCUACCCACACACCUAUCCCCAGUGCACUGGCAGUAGGGGUAAUCCAGCAUCUUCCCUCUAGUGCUACUAGGUUAGUUUAUACUCUAAGCCACUGAUACCUGGAACUGCUAGAAGGAAAAGUUGCCAGAUCAAACGUGCCUUCCAUUUAUCAGAGAAAGAAAAGCUAGAACAUCUUUCAAAAGCUCAGGUCCUAUUCUGUAUAAGGGAUGUUGGUGUAUGCACUAGUGAGGAUGGUGGGGAGGCGGGAGAGGGGAAUGAGGGGAGGAGUAAAAGCUCGAACAGGGUUUUUAGAAAACUGGAGUCUUCUGGUUCUUGUUCUGCCUUGAACUUGCUGGGUGCCCUUGAACAAAUAAUUUCUCCUUUCCAGGCCUCAUUUUCUUCAUAUAUAAAAUGAAAGGAAUGAAUUUGAUCAGUUCUUCAAACUUUUUACCAUAAAGGAAUAUCAUUUUAUUAUAUUUCCUCCCAAACUCCAUCAUCAAACUGCAGUUUAAGUGAUCAUAUGUUGUGGUCCUUUUGUUGGCAAAGACAGAAUUUUCCUAUUAUUUUUGAAAUGCUGGAAAAUGUUGGAAUUUCUGGGUCAUUCCCCUUUGUGACACGGCUAGUGACUCUGGAUCUUGAAGUCCUCCAGGACUGAAACUAUGAGUCAGGGACUCUCAGGCCCCCAAGAUUUUAUUAUUGAAAGACACUUUACAGAGUCUCUGGACCAGACAUCUCAUUUUACACAUGAAGAGACUGAGGCUAGAGAAGCAAAGGAAAGCAUAGGCCCCCAGAUGAUACCUGGAGUUGGGACAGAACCCAGGCUGGACUCCUGUUCUGCCUCUGGAUACCUUCCUGAGCUCCCAACGCUCUCCAGCAUCGCCAGCAAACUGAUGCCAGCUCUGCCUAACAACCUCUGUCCUGCUGCAGCCCACGCAUUGGCAUGGCACCAAGGCAUGUGGGGUUUUAUCUUUCCAGCAUGUGGGAGAGUUACACAGACACCACAGCGAUGCCAGGAAGGCCCACGGCGGAAUCCCAGAGUCCUGGAACAGCAAGACUAAAAUGGCAGCCAGUUCCCAGGCACUAGUUAGAUCCCUGGGAGCUCACCCCACCCUCCUCCACUUUAUCUCUGGCAAUCCCUGUCUGCUCAAGGUACUGGGUUUGGCAUCUAACCCCUGCCUCCUUGGAAACUUAGAUGAAGUCACAAGCACACAGUUACCAAUUAAACAAAUGUAAUAUCUGAUAAGGGUCUAUGCAUAGACAAUGGAUUUAGGUGCUGGGGUGAUGUUGGCAAUGAAUAGGAAGAUAAUGUUCAUUUUACCACUUCUUCAGAGAAUUGGGAAAGAUUUUUUGGAAGAAAUGAGAUUUCAAGAUAAGUCUGAAUUUAGUAAGUUAUCCUUAGCACUUCUGGAAAUAAAUGCUUUAAUUCAA